UACAGGGGGUGCAAACGUUGCUCGGAAUUAUUGGGCGUAAAGCGCGCGUAGGCGGCCGCUUAAGUCGGAUGUGAAAGCCCCUGGCUCAACUGGGGAAGUGCACCCGAAACUGAGUGGCUUGAGUACUAAAGAGGGUCGCGGAAUUCCCGGUGUAGAGGUGAAAUUCGUAGAUAUCGGGAGGAACACCGGUGGCGAAGGCGGCGACCUGGGUAGAUACUGACGCUGAGGUGCGAAAGCGUGGGGAGCAAACAGG
rnacentral:rRNA from 1 species